GCCAGAGCGUUUGUUACUCGCGCCUCCGGCCACUCUUCUCCGGGCGCUGCCCCUUUCCAGGAGGCAACUGGGAAGGGAUCCCCAGGAUUUGCCCCCAUCGCUUACGGAGCAGCUGAGCUCCGGGAGGUGCGUCGAGGACCGAAAGCGGACCACGUCUGCCCUCAAACCAUUUUACAGAUGGAGAAAUCCGAGGUCCAGAGAAGGGAAACUCGCCAGCCGAGAGCCGAAGCUCGGGCCAGGGUUUCUCCACGGAGGUGGGCGUGCAGCACUCCACGGGAGACGAUGAAAUUGGCGACACGCGCGCCUGCCGAGACACACUCCGACUAUAUUAGACUCUCCCGGCGCCCCCUCAAGUCUGAUGGAGGCUCCUUUUCGCGCGCGACCUCCCAGCCCUUUAACACCCGGUCCCCCCGUUCGAGCCUCUCGGGGUUCUAUUGGAAAGACUCUAGGCCCCUCUAGAACGUGAGGCCCAGACCGCCCGGAGCUGGCACUGCGCAUGCGCAAGGACAGCCAACCGGGGAGGCGGAAAAGCCGGUCCCGACUUUGUUGAGCUGCCGGGAGGGGGGGGGAGGGCGGAGAUUGUGUUAUCCAAUGACCUGAAGGAGCAAGGAGGGCGGGAUUAGGCUCUCGGUUGCUAGGCGCUACCUUUGGGGGAGGCAAUGUAAAAAGAUGGGUGAUCUGUGGUUCAAUGGCCCUCACGUCACCGCCCUUCCAGACCGCGGAAGUUAAGCAACGGAGAGGCGGGCCUAGCACCGGAAGCAGGAAGGAGGGCACAGGAAGCCAGGCGCCGCCACCACUGGCAGGCAGUCAGUGGGUCUGUCGGUCCCAGGGCAGGAUGGAGAAGCUGCGGCUCCUGGGCCUCCGCUACCAGGAGUACGUGACUCGUCACCCGGCCGCCACGGCCCAGCUGGAGACGGCAGUGCGGGGCUUCAGUUACCUGCUGGCAGGUCGCUUCGCCGAUUCGCACGAGCUGUCAGAGCUGGUGUACUCUGCCUCGAACCUGCUCGUGCUGCUCAAUGACGGGAUCCUGCGCAAGGAGCUUCGGAAAAAGCUGCCUGUGUCGCUGUCCCAGCAGAAGCUGUUAACAUGGCUGAGCGUGCUGGAGUGUGUGGAGGUGUUCAUGGAGAUGGGGGCCGCCAAGGUGUGGGGUGAAGUGGGCCGUUGGCUCGUCAUUGCCCUCAUCCAGCUGGCCAAGGCAGUACUGCGAAUGUUCCUGCUCAUCUGGUUCAAGGCUGGCCUCCAGACCUCACCCCCCAUCGUUCCACUGGACAGGGAGACCCAGGCACAGCCCCCGGAUGGUGAGCACAGCGGGAGCGGCCAGGAGCAGUCAUACGUGGGGAAGCGGUCACACAGAGUGGUGCGGACGCUCCAGAACACUCCGUCCCUGCACUCAAGGCACUGGGGAGCCCCCCAGCAGCAGGAGAGACGGCAACAGCAGCACCAGGAGGAGCUGAGCGUCACCCCCACUCCGCUGGGGCUGCAGGAGACCAUCGCAGAGUCCUUGUAUAUUGCCCGGCCCCUGCUGCAUUGUAUCCUUUGCAUGGGGCCGCCGCCGCUUGGGGGUAGGGAUUGACGGCAGUGAGCAGGGCGGGCCCCGUGCUGGAGACAUCCUUGACGCCUUGGCCAUCAGUGCUCAGCCUGGGUCUAUGGGGGCAGCGGUCGUGGAAACCCUGGCUCCUAUCUGGUGUCGUGGAUGUGACCAGUCUGAGCCUCCUGAGUGACAGGAAGGGCCUGACCCGGAGGGAGCGGCUGGAGCUGCGGCGUCGGACCAUCCUGCUGC